AGACACACUCUACAUCCCUUAUAUAUGCACUGCACCCCUUAAACACACUCUAGAUACUCUACAAAAAUACACUCUCGACAGCCCCUACACACACUACAUAACUUACGCACACACUCACUAUGACCCCUAUACACACACUACCUCUUGCACUCUACAGCCCUUAUCUACACAUCUACACAUUUUACACCACAAACAAAACUACAGAAACCUACCUAUUUACACAAAACACCAGACCGCAACCAAUUCAUCCUACAAACACA